AGGUGCUAUGAAACUUAACUGUGUCCUCCUCCUAACUGGGCCUGCUGUGUGUCUGUAUGUGUGCGUGUCUGAGUGUGUGUCUGUGUGGGGGAAUGUUGUCU